rnacentral:rRNA from 1 species
AGUCACUGACAUUAGAUACCCGGGUAGUCCUAGGCGUAAAUGAUGCGAGUUAAGUNUGGGGGCAUCUACGAGAUGGCCCUGUGCUGUAGGGUAGCCGUUAAACUCGCUGCCUGGGGAGUACGGUCGCAAGGCUGAAACUUAAAGGAAUUGGCGGGGAGCACCACAAGAGGUGGAGGCUGCGGUUCAAUUGGACUCAACGCCGGAAAACUCAUCGGGAGCGACAGCAGUAUGAUUGCCAGGUUGAUGACCUUGCUUGACAAGCUG